rnacentral:rRNA from 1 species
AGAUAAACCAUCCCUGGGGGUUUAACCCCCCUAAAGGUACCAGGAAGACUACCUGGUCGAUAGGCUGGAGGUCUAAGCAUGGCAACAUGUUCAGCCGACCAGUACUAAUCUGCCGUGAGGCUUGACCAU